CACCGGAGGCUGCUUCUCAGCUUAGCUGCUUUGAUAAAAUGGGUAAUUUGGUAAUAUGAUUUGCAUAUGGAAAAAGCCUUUUGCCAUUCUCCCGCUAACACACCCACACUCUAAUCUAUUUAGAGGAUUUACAGCCAAGAGUUUAGACGUGAUAAUCAACAGCCUGGUUUUAAAGCUCGAAGAAAAGAGACACACCCUGGACGGAUUAAACUACCAAGUGGAAGCAUUGGACGAGGGGUUCAAGAACUGCGUCUAGGGGUAACCCACAGAAGUAAAGAUGGAUCGUUUCAUGUCAUUGAUCUUCCUCUUCUUCGGACUUUGCAUUUCCUCAAGCAAAGUCCUUCAUCAGUUCCAUUACAUCGAUCUAAAGUUGAACUGGUUGGAUGCUCAGCAUUAUUGCAGAGAGAAAUACGACGACCUGGCUACCAUCCAAAGCAUGGAGGACAUAAUCCAGCUGAAAAACCAAGUUCGAGUUUCGGGAAACGCAUGGAUCGGACUUAGAGAUGACCCAAAUUCUUGGUUCAAAGUCAUGGGCAUUGACGCCAAUUCCUGGAGAUGGUCGGUAACCGGUGAAACGAGCCAAAAUGGUUACCAAAACUGGCAUUACAAAGAACCAAAUAAUAUGUAUUUCGAGUACUGCGUUGACAUAAAUGGUGCCGCAACAUGGAAUGAUAUGAACUGUGACGCGUUGCUGAGUUUCGUAUGUUAUACUGGUAAGAAAAUGUGUUUUGUUUUUUAGUUACUCUGACCCUCUGACCUUACCAAUCAAUU